rnacentral:rRNA from 1 species
GAUGAACGCUGACAGAAUGCUUAACACAUGCAAGUCAACUUGAACUUCGGUUUGGGUGGCGGACGGGUGAGUAACGCGUAAAGAACUUGCCUCACAGAUAGGGACAACAUUUGGAAACGAAUGCUAAUACCUGAUAUUAUGAUUAUAUGGCAUCGUAUAAUUAUGAAAGCUAUAUGCGCUGUGAGAGAGCUUUGCGUCCCAUUAGCUAGUUGGAGAGGUAACGGCUCACCAAGGCGAUGAUGGGUAGCCGGCCUGAGAGGGUGAUCGGCCACAAGGGGACGGAGACACGGCCCUUACUCCUACGGGAGGCAGCAGUGGGGAAUAUUGGACAAUGGACCAAGAGUCUGAUACAGCAAUUCUGUGUGCACGAUGAAGUUUUUCGGAAUGUAAAGUGCUUUCAGUUGGGAAGAAAAAAAUGACGGUACCAACAGAAGAAGUGACGGCUAAAUACGUG